AAUCUGGAAUUGGGGGAGGAUUUCUCCUAUGAAGGUGAGUGAUUGUGAAAUUAUUAGUUUUUAGUUUUUUUUAGAGAUUCUUACAAAAGUAUAUCAUAGGCAAUCCGCGGAUCAGAGUUGGUUUAUCAUUUAAUCUGUAAUUUUGUAUCGGGCAUUUUCUGUUAAUUUUUGUUUUUGCAUAAUCUUGAUUAUCGUUAGUCAUGCCCAGAUCUAGGUAAUUUUCUACAAAAUUUGAUCUUGCAACAUAGUUUUGUUGUUUUUUUUCAUAUUCUUCCUUUUACUAGGAGAUUUUACAACAAGGGUCGAUCAAUCAAUCUUCACUACCUCACCAAGUUGUGCACAAAGUACUCGAUUAGAUUCUUAUCUCAAUAUUUGGAUUCAAAAUUUGACAUGAAUUUAAAGUAAAGACAAUUUUGGCUUCAUAUUUUAAAUUUGAAUUAUAUUCGAUUUGGGAUCUGGAUCCUAUCUUUUUUAUUUAUCCGAUUAAGUUUUUGUGAUAAGAUUUUUUUUUUCUUUAGACCCAAAUCUGAUGUCAACCCAAAUGGUUUCACAUAUGAACACAAUUCUAGGAUCUGGAGCGUAAGUAGAUUGUGGUAGGACUAUUAAUUUAGACAGAUCUAAACAUGCCAAUCCAGUAGAUUGUGGUAGGACUAUUAAUUUAGACAGAUCUAAACAUGCCAAUCCACGUCCAACCAUCCCUAUGCACACAAGGUAAAGUUGAUGGUACUUCGGGAAUUCGUAGAUCUUUGAGUUUUAUUUUUUUUGUUUUUAGUUUUGCAUCAAUUUUUUUUUUCUUUAAUCAUAUCCUGAUCUAAGAAGAUUCUUCUCGGUAAAGUUGAUGGUACUUCGGGAAUUCUUUUCUUCGUCGUCAAAUUUAUUAACUUAAAAACACGAGGUAAUUUUUUAUAAUUUUUUUUUUCUUUUUGGAAUUGGACCAAUUUUGAGUGCCCUACUAAAAGAAAAAGAAAAUUGGUUCUGUCACUACACAGUUGAUUUUGUUGUUGUCUUUUUUAAUUAAGAAAAAAACAAAAAAUUCUUCUUUUUCUUAAUACGGAAAUUUUAUUGGUAAACACAAGGAAUUAUAUAAAAGUUAAAACAAGUGUGCUAUAAACUACAUUUUUUGUGUGUACAUGCAUGCGCGCGCUUUUGUUGCUAAAUCGUAAAAAACUAUUUUAAUAGAAUACUUCAUUCUAUUUUUUUUGUGUAUUCUCCAUGGUUUAAUCUUUGAGAUUUAUAAUAGAUCUCUAUAUGCUUAUACAUAUUACCCCAAAAGAUACUAGAUUGUGAUGUGGUUGAGCCAUACUUUGUUACUUAUUCACCCAUCCUUGUCAAGUAUUGUAUUCAGGCUUUCAUUGACAUAUUUGGAUCAACAUACAUUUUGAGAUGCAUACAAUUAGUACCCGAUUCAUAUUCUUAUAUCAACGUUAUCAUCUAAUACUACAACACGUGCAAUAUAAUUGAAAGGUGAAUUGCAUUGCCAUUUAUUAUUUUUUGGACAACGUUGUCAAAUUUAUUUAUUUUGUUGUUUACGUGCUUAUAGAGUUAGCCUACUGCGAAAAAUUGUUAUAAUAGUUUUUGUUAAUGUUAUAUGAUUACACAUCAAGAAAUUAAUGGUUGCAAUUUUUUUAUAGAUGAUUCUAAUAACUUAAAUGGCUAAAAUAGCUCGGCUUUAUCUUACACCGGUUAUUUUGUUUAAAAUAUAGAAGUAAAAAUUGAAAAAAUAUUUUCAUUUUAAUUGUAGGUAAAACUUAUGAACUACAAAUUGUUAAUAUGAUUUAAUAGGAAUUUUAAGAAUACAUUUUAAUAGGUAUUAUAAAAAUUAAAAUAUUAUUCCUAAACAAUUAAAUUCCAUACCUCUUUAAGCUAACUCUUAGAGUCAAGCCUUAAGAAUACAUUUUAAUUCUAAAAUUUGAACUAAUAACUAUUAGUAUUUUAUAAUUUCUACUACAUAUUAGGGUUGCCACAAAAUAUUCACCUAUUAGUUAACAUAUCUUGAUUAUUCAGAUAAUAGUUAUCUGAAGGAUGUUUAUUAGUACCACUCGCCAUUGAAACUUUGAUUGGCAAAGUUGCGUGCAAACCAACAACUGCUAGCUUAGUUGGUGAAGGCAUGCCUCUCCAAGUGGGAGGCUGUGGGUUCAAUUUCUCUUGACUGGGGUUUGAGAAAUUUUACCAAUGGAAUUUUAGGAGAUUCUCCAUGGUGGAUUAGCUAGCCUUCAGGUCUUGUUCGUGGUAGGCCUCAAAGCCCAGGAUUUAUAAGAGAUUGAGGUGAUGUGGCUCCUUAGGUGGAACAAAUCGAAAGCAAAUAUUCGUAGGGUGGCUACUCUGGUAAUGUGGAGGCGGCGUGGAUACUAAGGGUGCAACGAAGCGUAAAAUAGCCUACGUGCCUAGAUUCGGAUGUAACCCUUUGGGGCUUGUGAUGUAGACUUCAGUAAAUGAUAAUGUGGGGAUUAAGGCCAUCGAGGUAGUUUCAGAAGAGAUCGAUGUUGAUGAACCAACACAUGAAGAAGUUUUAAGUUUGUUAGAAGGCAAAUCCCAAGAAGAGAAACCAAAGCUAGUAACAAUCCAAAAAUAAGUUGUACUUUGGUAUGUAUACGAACUUAAGAUAUUAUAUGCCACUAACAACUACACGACCCUAAAGAAAGUGUUCAUGAUGAAUCUAUUUUACAACUGAAACAACAACUGCUAUAGACCUAAACAAAUUUCUCAAAAGUUUUACAUCUAAAACAACAAUUAGAGAACCUUUAUAGAAGGAUGCGUUAAAGUAAUGACGAAACCCCGUAAAAUGUUCUCAAACUCCCUUUCUUAUCAGUGCAAAGCCACAUAUUUAGCAAAUACAUCAAACUUAUUAUGAGAUACAAAUACAAGAAAGUUAAUUGUGAGUGUUUUUGUAACCUUCAAAUGACAAAGAAUUAAGGAUUUUUAUACACGACUUCAGCCGUUACACUUCCUUGGCUUCAUAGCUUUACGACUUUUCCCCUGUUUUAGUUUCUAAACAACAUUCUAAAAGAUAAAUAUGACUGAGCAUAUUAUGUGAAAAACGUAUCUUUCCACCGCAAAGAGUACUAUAUCUACUUUAAGAAGACUUAUUUGUUUAAUCUCGAUUUUAGCACAAAAAAAAAAAAAAAGACCAACACAUCAGUUCAGUGCACUAUGAGAGUAAAACACAUUUGAGAGUUUGUCAUUUAUCUAUAUCUACAUUGUUCCAUUAUUAACACGUUCUCCAUAUCAUCAUCAUACAAUUUAGUGACAAAACAUGGAUAAAUCCACAAAAUCUCAGGACCCCAGAUUUGUUCUUCCAGUUGAUACUGAUAACAAGAUUUUUAUCUUUCUUGGAUAUCACUCUUUGUUUGCUUCGUAUCAACUUUUGUUGCUCAACCACUCAUACGUAUAAUACGGGAUAAUUUAAGUCUAAAUCCACCAAUAUUGAUUUAAAGAUAGCUCAAAGCAAAAGUGAAUGAAGUUGCAAUUGAACUGCAUCAAUCAAGUCAACCAAGGUACAUCACAAGGUAUUUCAAAGGUAGGUGGGUUUCACAGAAGUGCAGAACAUCACAAGAUCAUAAUAAAAAAAAGUAGGUGGGUCCUACAGAUUUUGCCUUUUGAAAACAUCAAAUAGCCACAAAAAGUAGAAAAGACAACAAAAUAAAAUGCGUGAAUACCAUGCUCAGAAGAGAGACAAACAAAAUGCAGAUAAGUUUGCACAUAAUAGUCCAUCCAAAUUUGGUAGGGUUAAAACUUUAGUAUAAUACCUAUUAGAUUGGUAUAUUAUUGAGAUAUUCACCUUAGCCAAGAGCAGGGCAAAGAGGUUGGAAAAACUCAUGCAUCAAUUUCUUUUGGUUCCAUACUAAAAUCAGAAGAAACCAACUCAUUUCAAGAGUUUAAGUAGGUAAUCGUGCAUCAAAGUGAUGCCACCUUAAUCUAGAAGAAAAGAUGAUAUUGCUAACUUGAUGAUGUACCUUUUGGCUAUCACGAUUAUAUGGAGUAGAAAACUUGGGAAGCUAUACAAAAACGGCAUGGGUGCAACAAAGAAUAAAUAGAAUCAUGAAUAAGAAAGAAGAGUCCGCCAAGUUGUGAAAAAGAGAAAGGGUCAUGUUAUAAAAGUUCUCAAUGUGAAGUUUUAUUUAGGUUUAUGGCAUGUACAAUAACUAAUAUUGGUGGAUGUUAGAGUUAAAUUGUCUCGUAUUAUAGGUAUAAGAGGUGGAGCAGCAAACGUUGAUACGAAGCAAGCAAAAAAUGAUAUCCAAGAAAGAUAAAAGGUUUGUUCUCGGUAUCAACUAGAAGAUCAAAUCCGGGGUUCUGAGAUUCUGUCGAUCUUUCCAUUUCAGGUCACUUAAAUGAUAAGAUGUUGUAUGAAGAACUUAUUAAUAUCGUAACAAUGUAGAUAUACAAAAAUGACAAUCUCUUAAAUAUGGUUCACUCUCUUAGUAGAAUCGAUUUGUUAGUCUUCAUUUUUUUUUUUUUUUUUGGCUUGAAAAUUAGAUAAAACUAAUUAACAAGUUUCCUCAAAAUUAUAUAUGGUGUGUUUGCUGUGGUGAAAUACGUUUCCGCAGAAUAUUCUCCAUCAUAUUUAUCUUUCACACUGAUGUUUAAAAACUAAAACAUGGAAAAGCCGAAGAGGCUAUGGAACCAUGGUUGUGUAACAGAUGAAUUCGUGUAUAAAAUCCUCAUUUCUUUGUCAUUUGAUGGUUGGAAAAGCACACAUAGUUAACUUUCUGUGUUGCAUCUCGUAAUAAGUUGAAUGUAUCUGAUAAAUAAAUAAAUGAUUUUACACUGAUAAGAAAGCUCCCCUUGUUGUUGUCUUAGUUGUAACUUCUCAAGGUGAUCAAUUUGUUUAGGCCUAUGCAUUGUGGUCUUAGAUGUAAAAUAGAGUCAUCAUGAACAAUUUGUUUAGGGUCGUGUAGUUGUUAAUAUCGUAACCAUGAGUAUAACUUUUUGAAUCUUCCAUCUUCCAAAUCUUCCAUCCAUAACUCUUUUUUUUUAACAAAAUAUAAAAAGAAGCCGAUAAGCAUAAAAGUCACCUAUUUGAGUUAUAAUUAAUUUCAAUUUUCGGAAUUCGGCCAAAAUAAAGCUCUGUUAUUAUAGGUAAAGGAGCAACAAAAGAGCUAUGAUAUUAAAAAAAUAUGGAAGGUGGCAGUCAUGCAUCUAUUACCUCCAAAACUUACCCAACUCGAAAAAAUUGUCUUGGUUUGUUAUGACUAUCAAAGGCUAAUAUCCAGUCAUUUAUGCGUGAAGCAUAUAUGAAUUGAAAGCUUGCUUUAAAUAAUCUGAAAGAGAAAAAAAAAAAGUGCAAAAAAAUAAAGAACAUCGAAGCUUGUCUUGAAAGUACUAUUCAUACACUAAACACAAUAUUCAUAAAUCCAAUUUUAAGUCAUGCCAAAUUUUGUCAAUUAAAAGUAUAAUAAGUUCAAAGAUUAUAAUAUAACUUAUAAGCAACAACCUCCGAUUACAAAAGUUUAUUCAAAGUUAGAUAAAAGAACUAGUACAAUCAUGCCUAAAAGGCUACUUUAAAGACAUGCAAUGGAUGGUUGUAUGCAGAGAUUAGGUCAUAAACAUUGGAUAAAAGCGAACAGGCGAAGGGAGUAGUACAACUGAAUUAUCGACCAAUAUGAACAUAACUUAUACUUAUUGAUCAUAGUAUCAACCUUAAAGCUUAUAUAUUAGUUUGCACAUUAAAGUACUUCUCACUCUAUGAUAUAAAUAUUUUAGAUGACAUCUUUAAGUCCUUCUUUCAUUUGGUGAUGGACAAAACAUCUUCAGAUUUUUUGCAUCAUACACCAUCUUUUCAGCCAUCUAUAUAAGAUUAGAUAUAUCUCAUGGUUACCCCCUCCACCUAUGUGGCUCAAGUUGAAUAUAAAUGGUGCUUCAAAUGAUAAUAUUGUUGUUAUAAGACUGGUUAUUUGUAAUGAGUUUGGAUGUUUUUAUGCAGGACUUGGGAAACAUGUAGGAAACUGUAACAAUAAUAUUGCAGAAUGGUGGGCUCUUCUGGAAGGACUAAAGUUUUUGAAAAGUGACAACAAGUGAUUAUAGAAACUGACUCGUCUUUUGUGUAUAAUAUAAUUAACAGAGGAUUUAAGUUUGCUUGGUACUUUACAAAUAUUUUACAAGAGUGUAGGUCUUUGCUACAGAGUAGUUUGAUAGCCAGUUAGACAUAUUUUGAGGGAAGGAAAUUAAGUGGUUGAUUGCUGGCCAAGAGAGGGAUGUGAGGUGCACAGGGAAGCUAGUUCACAACCACUAUGUUAAUAGUGUCUUCCCUAGGUACUCCUAAGUUUGUAAUGUGUUU
rnacentral:lncRNA from 1 species